AGCUCAGCUGGUAGAGCAUCUGACUUUUAAUCAGAGGGUCAGAGGUUCGAAUCCUCUAUGGC
rnacentral:tRNA from 1 species